rnacentral:lncRNA from 12 species
AUGCAAAUAUUCUCCACGGUUGCCUGUGAAAUUAAGAAAGGAGAAUGUGAAGGGAACAUGCAUAUCUGCAAUCCUGCAAGAGGAGUGAACUGGACUAACCACAGGCUGCUGUCUGUUUCAGUGCAUUCUGGUCCAUUUCAUACUGCCGAUUAAUUGCCUGUGCUCAAAGACGGAGGUAAUCAGCUCUUACGCUUCUAGAAAUGUGUUGACCCCUUCUCCUAAGUACACACACAGAGCCUUUUGCCAAAGUUUCUAGGCAUUUUGUCAAAGAUGCACUGUCUGUAAUGAAGUUGGGGGAAGCCAGGAGCACUAAGAGUGAAGCCCACAGCUGCUUGAAGAAACACUGCCAAGAUAAGAGCAGCUUU